rnacentral:rRNA from 1 species
GAUUGAACGCUGGUGGCAGGCCUAACACAUGCAAGUCGAGCGGCAUCGAGUGAUCGCAGUUUACUGAGUUCAUGUCGGCGAGCGGCGGACGGGUGAGUAAAGUCUGGGAAUCUGGCCGAAGGAGGGGGAUAACUGCUGGAAACGGCAGCUAAUACCGCAUGAAGUCGCGAGACCAAAGUGGGGGACCUUCGGGCCUCACGCCUUCGGAUGAGCCCAGAUGAGAUUAGCUGGUAGGUAAGGUAAAGGCUCACCUAGGCGACGAUCUCUAGCGGGUCUGAGAGGAUAGCCCGCCACACUGGAACUGAGACACGGUCCAGACUCCUACGGGAGGCAGCAGUGGGGAAUAUUGCACAAUGGGCGAAAGCCUGAUGCAGCCAUGCCACGUGUGUGAAGAAGGCC